rnacentral:rRNA from 1 species
UACGUAGGGGGCGAGCGUUGUCCGGAAUCAUUUGGCGUCAAGCGCGUGUAGGCGGUCCGGUAAGUCCGCUGUGAAAGUCGGGGGCUCAACCCUCGGAUGCCGGUGGAUACUGUCGGGCUUGAGUACGGAAGAGGCGAGUGGAAUUCCUGGUGUAGCGGUGAAAUGCGCAGAUAUCAGGAGGAACACCAAUUGCGAAGGCAGCUCGCUGGGACGUUACUGACGCUGAGACGCGAAAGCGUGGGGAGCGAACAGG